AUGGGUUCAGACAAGCAGAGUGGUAGCCCACUAUUGGGAACCCUCAAGAUGGAGAGGGUUCGGACGAUCCUGACACAUACGCCAUAUCCUCAUGAACACUCGAGGCAUAUCAUGACGGCAGUGAUAAUUGGGUGCCUCUUUUUCAUCUCGUCCGACAAUAUGCAUACUCUGAUACAUAAACUGGACAGCAAUAUCAAAUGGUGGUCCAUGUAUGUUUGCUUGAUUGGUUUCUUCUACUUCUUUUCAUCUCCCUUCCUUGGAAGAACAAUUCAGCCGAGUUACUCAAAUUUCAACCGAUGGUAUGUCGCUUGGAUUUGCUUUGCAUCCCUGUAUCAUCUCCCUAGCUUCCAAUCAAUGGGCGUUGAUAUGCGCAUGAACCUUUCACUUUUUUUGACUAUAUAUUUCUCUUCUGUCCUCUUCAUCACCGCCUUUCACAUCAUAUUUAUUGGUCUCUGGUACAUUGGACUGGUUGCUCGCAUGGCAGGCACAAGACCAGGAAUAUGGACCAUAGUACAAAACUGUACUGUCAUCAGUAUUGCGUGCUGUGUAUUCUACAGUCAUUGCGGGAAUCUUGCUGUGCCCAAAAGCGAAUCUUUUGACAAGAGUUCUGAUCCAAGUUUGCUUGCUUUUCUUAAAAACGAAAAUGGAACCACAUGGAUAUCAAAUUUUCUCUUUAUGAAUGAACUAAAAGAUCAGAUAUGUUCAUCUUGGUUUGCACCUGUUGGAUCCGCAAGUGACUAUCCUCUUCUGUCAAAGUGGGUUAUAUAUGGGGAGUUAGUUUGCAGUGGAUCCUGUGCUGGCCCAUCAGAUGAAAUAUCUCCUCUGUACUCACUGUGGGCUACAUUCGUUGGCCUUUAUAUUGCCAACUUUGUUGUGGAGAGAUCAACUGGAUGGGCUCUUACUCACUUGUCACCAGUAUCAGAAGAAGAGAAGCUCAGAAAACAUAUGAAACCAGAUUUCUUGGAUAUGGUACCUUGGUACUCAGGGACAUCGGCUGAUUUAUUCAAGACGGCGUUUGAUCUUAUGGUCUCUGUAACUCUUUUUGUUGGGCGAUUUGACAUGCGCAUGAUGCAGGCUGCAAUGAAAAGUACUACAGAUGAAACUCGGAAUGACGAUGUGCUCUAUGACUAUUUUAAUGAAAGAGAAGACCUUUGGUUUGACUUUGUCGCAGACACUGGUGAUGGUGGAAAUUCAUCAUAUACAGUUGCCCGGCUGCUGGCUCAGCCAUCCAUUCAGACUGUAAUUGGUGGUUCUAUGCAUACUCUUCCACGUGGAAAUUUGCUUGUUAUUGGCGGAGAUCUUGCGUAUCCAAACCCUUCGUCCUUUACAUAUGAGAGACGCUUCUUUGGUCCUUUUGAGUAUGCUAUGCAACCUCCGCGUUGGUAUAAGGCUGAACAUAUAGCUGUGGAUAAGCCUGAGGUUCCUCCGGGAGUAUCAAAGAUGAAAAAAUAUGAUGGACCCCAAUGUUUCAUAAUUCCCGGGAACCACGAUUGGUUCGAUGGGCUUAACACCUUCAUGAGAUAUAUAUGUCACAAAAGCUGGUUAGGUGGAUGGUUUCUGCCUCAGAGGAAGAGUUACUUUGCAUUGCAGCUUCCGAAAGGUUGGUGGAUAUUUGGUCUUGAUCUAGCUCUUCAUGGUGACAUUGAUGUAUACCAAUUCAAGUUCUUUGCAGAACUUUGUCGGAAUAAGGUUGGAGAGAACGACUCUGUGAUCAUUGUUACACACGAGCCAAACUGGCUCCUCGAUUGGUAUUGGAAGGAGACUACAGGCAAGAAUGUCUCACAUUUGAUUCAGGACUACCUGAAUGGAAGGUGCAAACUUCGUAUGGCUGGGGAUUUGCAUCAUUUUAUGAGGCAUUCUGCAACACCAUCAGAUAAACCAACUUUUGUUGAACACUUACUUGUCAAUGGAUGUGGUGGUGCCUUUCUGCACCCAACACAUGUUUUCAAAAACUUUGAAAGGUUCUCUGGUACUACCUACGAGUGCAAGGCUGCUUAUCCCUCUUAUGAGGAAUCUAGUGGGAUUGCACUGGGCAAUAUAUUAAAAUUCCGCAAGAAGAAUUGGCAGUUCGACAUAAUUGGUGGUUUUAUUUACUUCAUACUGGUAUUCUCCAUGUUCCCACAGUGUAAUCUUGUUCACAUCUUAAAUGAGGAAACAUGGUCUGGGCGUCUGCAAAGCUUCUCAAGUACAAUAUGGAGUGCUUUGCUUUUUAUUUUUGAACACUCUUAUGUCUCCUCAGUAGGAAGUCUAACUUUGUUGAUGGCAUCAUAUUCAUUUGUACCAUCCAAACUCACAAGGAAAAAAAGAGCUAUUAUCGGUAGCCUGCAUGUUUUGGCCCAUCUGACUGCAGCUCUAGUUUUAAUGUUGCUCAUGGAGUUGGGCAUUGAAAUAUGCAUACGGAAUCAUUUACUGGCAACGUCAGGUUAUCACCCUCUAUAUGAUUGGUAUCGGUCAAUGGAAAGUGAGCAUUUUCCAGAUCCAACUGGUCUUCGUACUCGAUUGGAACAAUGGACGCUUGGACUAUAUCCAGCAUGUAUAAAAUACCUUAUGUCAGCCUUUGACGUCCCAGAGGUCAUGGCUGUUACAAGGAUCAACAUUUGCAAGAACGGCAUGAUGUCGCUUUCUCGGAGUGUUCUGAUCAUGUACUAUACUUCUGUAUUUAUCUAUUUCUGGAUUUUCUCAACUCCAGUUGUUUCCCUCAUAUUUGGUAGUUACCUAUACAUAUGCAUCAACUGGUUCCACAUACACUUUGAUGAAGCCUUCUCGUCUUUGCGCAUCGCAAACUACAAAUCUUUCACAAGGUUCCAUAUUAAGAAGGAUGGUGAUCUAGAAAUAUUUACACUUGCAGUUGACAAGGUCCCAAAGGAUUGGAAAUUGGAUCCCAAGUGGGAGGCAGAGGAAAGAGGGCCUCAUCAGCUCAGCCACCACCGGAGAUACCCUAGCAAAUGGAGGUCAGCCUCAUCUCCAGACCCCGUCAGGUCGGUGCGGGUCGUUGACCAUUUCACCAUCACAAGAACAGUAGCACCAGAUCCCGAGACCUCCUGCUGA
rnacentral:rRNA from 1 species